rnacentral:rRNA from 1 species
GAUGAACGCUGGCGGCGUGCCUAAUACAUGCAAGUCGAGCGAACGGACGAGAAGCUUGCUUCUCUGAUGUUAGCGGCGGACGGGUGAGUAACACGUGGAUAACCUACCUAUAAGACUGGGAUAACUUCGGGAAACCGGAGCUAAUACCGGAUAAUAUUUUGAACCGCAUGGUUCAAAAGUGAAAGACGGUCUUGCUGUCACUUAUAGAUGGAUCCGCGCUGCAUUAGCUAGUUGGUAAGGUAACGGCUUACCAAGGCAACGAUGCGUAGCCGACCUGAGAGGGUGAUCGGCCACACUGGAACUGAGACACGGGCCCGACUCCCACGGGAGGGAGCAGUGGGGAAUAUUCCCCAAUGGGGGGAAACCCGAACGAGCAAACCCGCGUGGGUGAAGAAGGGCUUCGGGUUGUAAAACCCUUUUAUUAGGGAAGAAAAAAAUGUGAAAUAAACUUGGCCGUUCUGACGGUACCCAAAUAAAAAGCCCCGGCCAACUUCGUG